ACGAACGCUGGCGGCAGGCUUAACACAUGCAAGUCGAGCGAGGACUUCGGUUCUAGCGGCGGACGGGUGAGUAACGCGUGGGAACGUGCCCUUCUCUACGGAAUAGCCCCGGGAAACUGGGAGUAAUACCGUAUACGCCCUUUGGGGGAAAGAUUUAUCGGAGAAGGAUCGGCCCGCGUUGGAUUAGGUAGUUGGUGGGGUAAUGGCCUACCAAGCCGACGAUCCAUAGCUG
rnacentral:rRNA from 1 species